UGAUGGAUGGACCCGCGGUGCAUUAGCUAGUUGGUAGGGUAAUGGCCUACCAAGGCAACGAUGCAUAGCCGACCUGAGAGGGUGAUCGGCCACACUGGGACUGAGACACGGCCCAGACUCCUACGGGAGGCAGCAGUAGGGAAUCUGCGGCAAUGGACGAAAGUCUGACCGAGCAACGCCGCGUGAGUGAAGAAGGUUUUCGGAUCGUAAAACUCUGUUGUUAGAGAAGAACAAGGAUGAGAGUAAAAUGUCAUC
rnacentral:rRNA from 1 species